CAGGUUGCAGAUAUACUAUGCCAUGGAAAGUUCCGAAAGAACAGAUGUCAUGCCAAGGUCAUACAAAGGACACUUGAACUUUAUAUGAAAGGAGAAGAUAAAAACAUGAAAAAAGAAACCGACUGCAGUCAAACCGAAGAGAGUGACAAUUAAGGAUGAUUUGGAAUGGUAGGAAUCAAAUCAAAGCUCGUUGGAAAAGUCACUCACAAGUAACAGAAAUCAUCCAAGUACACAUUGGUUGCAUCAAAUUCGGACAUUGCAAGGGUAAUGAAACAACCAAGAUAACAUCUAUAUUUGCAGUCGAGAUAAUAAUCAGCCGUUUUGUCAAAAGUCGGAAAAGAAUUAUAUGUGGUUCCGAUUGGUCCGCUCGGUGAAAGUGAAUAUAUUUCAUAAGUAACUAGUGUGACUUGUUUAUUCAGAAAAGGUGUUUCAUUCUUUUUGUUGUUUUCUGAUUCCAAACUAACAAAUCUAAGCGGAGUGUUACCAUAAUUAUUGACGUUUCCGUGUUUACUUAUUUAUGACACAAAACCUGUAAGGUACCAUGGAAAAUAUAUGACUUUGGGAAGAUGGUCAGACUAUGAACAAAAAGAUAUGGACGAUAUAGGCCACGCUAACGGUUUAGC
rnacentral:lncRNA from 1 species